CUGCAGCCCGAGUGGUGAUCGAUUUUAUUGAGCCUAAAGCGUCCGUAGCCGGACUAGUAAACCCUUGGGUAAAUUGGGCAGCUUAACUGUCCAAAUUCCGAGGGGACUGCUAGUCUUGGGACCGGGAGAGGUCAGAGGUACUCAAGGGGUAGGGGCUAAAUCCUGUAAUCCUUUGGGGACCACCAGUGGCGAAGGUGUCUGACUAGAACGGAUCCGACGGUAAGGGACGAAACCCUGGGGCGCGAACCGGAUUAGAUACCCGAGUAGUCC
rnacentral:rRNA from 1 species